rnacentral:lncRNA from 1 species
CAUCAUGCUAUGAUUUAGGCAUCUUCUCAUUCCUGAUAACAUCUAUGGUAACUGCAUCAAUAACAUAUUAGUUAGCUUGCUCUAAUCAUAGAGGUUUUUACUCAGGUACAGUGACUACAGCCGCCAAGCUUGGAUGCACUGUGCUACAUGCUUAAAAGUUUAGAGACGAGACAUUAGUGCAUGGUAGAAAGGUCAGGAAAUGCUUCACACAGUAUGUGGCAAUUGAUUUAUUUCUCAAAAAAGUGUUUGGUGUUGGAAAGUAUUUACAGGUCUGGAAAUCAUGUGACAAAGACCAGAUUGUCAGAGGGUGUGACAAAAUUGGGGAUAGAGAUGAGUCUAGAUUGAAUAAAAUAAAUUGGGUCAGAAUUUUAUUGAUUUGCAAGGCAGUAACAAAUUAUAGAUUUUACGCUUUAGAAGGUGGGAAGAUAUUGACUCUUUGGGAGAUUUAUAUUAAUUAUCUAUAAACAUUUCUUGCACAAACCCUGCAGUCAAUGUUAAAGAGUAGUCUAGAAUCAAUUAUUGCAAUACAACCUUUAAGUUACAAUAAUGUAAUAUAAAUGUGCAUACCUAAACCAGAAGCAGCACAGCGAGGCCUGCAGAUAAAGUGAUAUAUGAGUUUUGUCUUGAAGGAUGGAACUAGUGUUUUGGAAAGAUUCAUCUAACAGUAAUGUGCAGAAUGAAUGAAACAGAAGAAAGACAUAAUAUUGGGUAGAAAAGAUAAGAGACACUAUCAUAAAAGGGAUAACGUGUGGUAGAGGCAUGAUCAGUUGCCAAUUUAUUUUAAGCAUGAUAGAUUACUGAUCAGACACAGAAUUUGCCCCAAAGAACUAUGGUUUUAGAUUAACAUUAUACAUACGUAAGCUUACUCUUGGAUAGUUAAUUUAGUUUUGCUAACCAUGAGGCUAAUAAGACCAGGGUUAUGGGGUUACUCACUGUUUCAUGACAUUGGAGUAAAGGCUAGUCAGAAAUCUUAUAAACCUUUCGCAAAAUGACAAAUACAGAUAACGUAAAUAUCUCUGUGAAUUUCACACCUAUGAUAAUCAACAUUGAAGUAAAAUCCUCAAAAAUAUGUAUUCAACUAAAAGUAGGCCAAGAGUAUCAUCACGGAUUAUAACGAACAUAAAUAAUGGCGUAAAGAAUCUACCAAGUACUUUGUCAGAAUAAAAUAUCAUGCGAGCUUUCUAGGUAGUGGUAAAUAUUGGUCUAUAUUUACAAACGGUUUUAUUUGUCCAUAUAGUAUGGCACCCAUUAUCAUCCAUGUAAACUAGAAUACUCCACUGCUUCUGCCUAAUAAUGGCAAUGAUAACAAUAAAACCAAUAAUAAAAUAAAUACUUAUGCCUCAAAUAAUUUUAGAAUUAGGGUAGAAACAAAUAGCUACGAUUUAUUUAGCACAUAACAUAGUGGCAUGAUAUAGUUUAAUUUUCACAUACUACAAACUAAAAAUUUUUAUAAUUCUAUAUUAUAGGUGAGUCAAUUGAGACUCCUACAGCUAAUAUGUUUCUGAGCUAGGACUCAAAAGUGGGUAAGAUUACAAAGCCCUGUGAAGUAGCUAGUAUUUGUAUUUCCUCCUUUAUAAGUAUUAGUUAUGAAUCACGCAGACAUUUUAUUUUUAAUGCUUUCCUGAUCUAGCUGCCUAAAAUAAGAGUUUUAAUAAUUGCAAAAUGUAGAAAUGUAGGUAGUGAAAACAUAAAAAGAUCUGUGUACGUAAUUAAAUCUCAAGCCACACUAGUUCCCAUGGUUCCUUUGUGUUACCCCUGAAAUUUACAUUUUAAAUUAUAAACCUAAAUGCCUAAAGUAAACAGAAGACUAUCUAUCCUCAAAUCCAAUCCAAUGAAGGACCUAAGAUGCAUCUCAAGAUCCCAUCUAAUGGACUUCUCUAUCACAGACUCUCAGCCUCCCUUUUCUUUUCUCCAGACUUUAAUACUGGGUCCAGCUUUUGAGAUCUCAGCGGGGAAAAAGGGAGGAGUGAGACUCCAUGCAUCAACAUUUUGUCCUAGAUUUUCACUGUGCUCUCAUCAAAAGUGGCUUCAAUCAUUCUCCCAACUGCACUGACCCUCUCUGUCUGUAUGCUCUUAAAGAAUCAUGCCAAGGAAGGCAGAGUCCUGGGAAAAGAUGGUAUUUUUCUUUUGCGUAAGCUGUUUGGACUCCAAGCUCCAAUUAAUGUUUAAAAACUCUAGAAUUUUAAGAAAGUAAAGCUAAUUUUAAGUAAUUUGAAGAAAGUGAUGUCCAAAGAAUUUUAAAAAUCUGGAAUGUCCUGUUGGAAUUUCUCUUCCCUUAGCCUCUUGUUAUUUCCAGAGUUCGUUUCCCUUCUGAAAAUUUUAUCAAUGAUUUCAAAUAUUUACUAUUCAUUCAUUUAAACAAGUGGUAAGCUUCUAAUAUAUGUUAGGUCCAGUAUUAGGCAUAAGGAAUGGAAAAAAAAAGUAAAAUAGUGGAAUUCACUUCCGCAGGAAUCCAGGGGAUAUUUGCUGUCUUUGUGAUGUAGCACCUGAUAGUCUAGUAAACGAGUGGAGAAAGUCAGAUGAAAUUACAUGACAUGUUUUCAUCAACAUUUUUCCCCCACAUAACAUAGUUUCUGAUGAUGGGCAAGACAAUAAGAAACAUUGUAUUGCAGUGAUGGUGAUGGAGGACUGGUGGUCAAAAUCUCCAUUAUCACCAUAAAAUAAAAUUUUUCUGUAUCUUCAGUAGCAGUUUUUAGAGGUCUUGAUUUUCCCUAUGACAUAUCUAAACGUAAAUAAUAAUACAUCAAGGAAGUCCCUAAGUCAAUAGUACUCUGUUGAAAGGAGCCCUUUGAUUUAGUUUUCCAGACAGAGCUUUCAGAGAUCAUAAUCAUCCUGAAUAUUCCAGCAAUGCUCAGAAAAUAAAACUAAUUUUAACUUUGCUCUAAAGAUAUUGCUUUAAAUGGGCUUUUGACUGGCUGCCGAAAACUGUUUAUUGAUUCAAUUUUCUGACUAACUGAUAACAAAGAUUCUAGUAUCAUCUGCCUGAUUAGAAUGCUUAUUUGUACUGGCAGAACCAGCAGAAAUUUUCUUCAUCCUGGAAGAAACCUUGAACCCAAUAAAUAUAAAAUUAUAUAUGUUGUUUUUUAUUUUCAUGGUUUUUAUUCAGGUGAAAUCUGGCGGUCAUUAAAAAAAUGUAAAAAUUUGAAAAGUGCAUGCUUGAGAGGAGAAAAAAAUUGUAAAAUGGCUAAUUGCUGGGUUAAGUGGUGAAAGAGCUAUUAAUCGCUUUUUGUAGCUUGACCAUUUAGAGGGUUGGCAGGAUAGAAGACUCUAGAAUAUCCUGAUUUAGGUAUUAGCUACUAGCAGUAAUAUUAGUCUAUUAGUCUUAGAUACCAAUUCAUUAUUCAUUAGCUGCCUCCCUGAGGUCACUCCCAACAUCAGCAGACAGGGUAUUUCCAAAAUGAGAGAUUUCUGGGAAAAUCGUCGUGGUUCAGAGAGAAAAUAUGCUGUGAAAUCUUGAUAGCAAUGUACUGGUUGGCAGGUCAACAGUGACAGCAGCAGCAGCAAGAAUGAAUCAAGUUUCUCCUCCUCUUCUCAGGGUGAUGCUCCUUCUCCUCCUGAUUUGAUGUAUGGAGGAAAAUACAACAUUACUUCUGUGGUGUUUCUUCUGAGAUGCAUAAUCUGAAUCUAAUCAUGGUG